rnacentral:rRNA from 1 species
CUCCAGACUCCUACGGGAGGCAGCAGUGGGGAAUAUUGGGCAAUGGGCGCAAGCCUGACCCAGCAACGCCGCGUGAAGGAAGAAGGCUUUCGGGUUGUAAACUUCUUUUAAGAGGGAAGAGUAGAAGACGGUACCUCUUGAAUAAGCCACGGCUAACUACGUGCCAGCAGCCGCGGUAAUACGUAGGGGGCAAGCGUUAUCCGGAUUUACUGGGUGUAAAGGGGGCGCAGACGGCAAUGCAAGCCAGGAGUGAAAGCCCGGGGCCCAACCCCGGGACUGCUCUUGGAACUGCAUGGCUGGAGUACAGGAGGGGCAGGCGGAAUUCCUAGUGUAGCGGUGAAAUGCGUAGAUAUUAGGAGGAACACCGGUGGCGAAGGCGGCCUGCUGGACUGUGACUGACGUUGAGGCCCGAAGGCGUGGGGAGCAAACAGGAUUAGAUACCCCUGUAA